rnacentral:sRNA from 1 species
UUUUUUUUUGAAUAUCUGCAAAUUCAAGCCUAAUGACCUUACAUUUCUUAGAGGUGGAAUCCACACCAUGUUAAAUUCAUCUUUUUUGGAGAAAAGAUCAUUUCCAACGUGUUUCGAACCCAUCACCUCUACCUAAGAGAUUUACUACUGGGCCAACAGAUCGUUGGUAAUGAAAUCUUGAAAAUAGAUAUAACACCAGGAUGGAAGAAAGGAACGAAGAUAUAUUUCCUU